rnacentral:rRNA from 1 species
CCUACGGGGGGCAGCAGUGGGGAAUAUUGGACAAUGGGGGGAACCCUGAUCCAGCCAUGCCGCGUGUGUGAAGAAGGCCCUCGGGUUGUAAAGCACUUUCAGUGAGGAAGAACGCCUGGUGGUUAAUACCCAUCAGGAAAGACAUCACUCACAGAAGAAGCACCGGCUAACUCCGUGCCAGCAGCCGCGGUAAUACGGAGGGUGCGAGCGUUAAUCGGAAUUACUGGGCGUAAAGCGCGCGUAGGUGGCUUGAUAAGCCGGUUGUGAAAGCCCCGGGCUCAACCUGGGAACGGCAUCCGGAACUGUCAAGCUAGAGUGCAGGAGAGGACGGUAGAAUUCCCGGUGUAGCGGUGAAAUGCGUAGAGAUCGGGAGGAAUACCAGUGGCGAAGGCGGCCUUCUGGACUGACACUGACACUGAGGUGCGAAAGCGUGGGUAGCAAACAGGAUUAGAUACCCUGGUAGUC